rnacentral:tmRNA from 1 species
GGGGCUGCCCUGGUUUCGACGUGGGUUCGGAAUCGGUGUGGUGCAUGUCGAGCUUGAUUGGCGCUCGUAAAUCUGCAUUCAACAAACUAACUGCAAACGACGAACGUUUCGCACUCGCCGCUUAAUACCGGUGAGCCUUGCAACAGCACGCUGAUGGGCUGGGCAAGGGGGUCGCAAGACCUCCCGGCUGCAAGGUAAUUCACGUCAGCUGGCUUCAAACCGGGUGCCUUGGUUGGGAGCAAGAUUCAAGGGCACUGGCCUUUGUCAUAGCGUGCGGCUGCGCGAUGACCGAGGUGAGAUCCAAAUCAGACCGCUAAACAUGUAGAUCUGCCCGAAGAAGGCUUGCGGACGCGGGUUCAAUUCCCGCCAGCUCCACCA